GAUGAAGAACGUAGUGAAAUGCGAUAAGUAAUGUGAAUUGCAGAAUUCAGUGAAUCAUCGAAUCUUUGAACGCACAUUGCGCCCGCCAGUAUUCUGGCGGGCAUGCCUGUUCGAGCGUCAUUCAACCCUCAGGCCCCCGGGCCUGGCGUUGGGGAUCGGCGAGGCGCCCCCCGCGGGCACGCGCCGUCCCCCAAAUACAGUGGCGGUCCCGCCGCAGCUUCCAUUGCGUAGUAGCUAACACCUCGCAACUGGAGAGCGGCGCGGCCAUGCCGUAAAACACCCAACUUCUGAAUGUUGACCUCGAAUCAGGUAGGAAUACCCGCUGAACUUAAGCAUAUCAAUAAGCGGAGGA
rnacentral:misc_RNA from 1 species